rnacentral:rRNA from 1 species
GUAGGUGGCAAGCGUUGUCCGGAAUUAUUGGGCGUAAAGCGCGCGCAGGUGGUUCUUUAAGUCUGAUGUGAAAGACCCCCGGGCUCAACCGGGGAGGGUCAUUGGAAACUGGGGAACUUGAGUGCAGGAGAGGAAAGUGGAAUUCCACGUGUAGCGGUGAAAUGCGUAGAUAUGUGGAGGAACACCAGUGGCGAAGGCGACUUUCUGGCCUGUAACUGACACUGAGGCGCGAAAGCGUGGGGAGCAAACAGGAUUAGAUACCCUGGUAGUCCACGCCGUAAACGAUGAGUGCUAAGUGUUGGGGGGUUUCCGCCCCUCAGUGCUGCAGCUAACGCAUAAGCACUCCGCCUGGGGAGUACGGUCGCAAAGACUG